AGGAUGAACGCUGGCGGCGUGCCUAAUACAUGCAAGUCGAGCGGUAAGGCCUCUUCGGAGGUACACGAGCGGCGGACGGCUGAGUAACACGUAGGAACGUACCCCAAAGUGAGGCAUAAGCACCAGAAAUGGUGUCUAAUACCGCAUAUGGCCUUAGGGUUAAAGUCUUCGGACGCUUUGGGAACGGCCUGCGCAUGAUUAGCUUGUUGGUGAGGUAAUAGCUCACCAAGGCGACGAUCAUUAGCUGGUCUGAGAGGAUGAUCAGCCAGACUGGGACUGAGAACGGCCCAGACUCCUACGGGAGGCAGC
rnacentral:rRNA from 1 species